CCAGUUCUCAGGCGAGAGCCGCGGCUGACAGGGUCUGGGACAGAAGGAAAGCCCUCCGGCCUCCAGGCCCUGCCUUCUGCCUGCACAUUCUGCCCUGAUUUCCGGAACCUGGAAGCCUAGGCAGGCAGUGGGGAACUCUGACUCGCCUGUGCUCUGGAGCUUGAUCCGAAAGCUUCCACAGUGAGGACUGCUCCGUGGGGGUAAGAGAGCACCAGGCACUGAGGCCUGGGAGUUCCACAGACCAACACCCCUGCUCCUGGCGGCUCCCACCCGGGACUUAGACCCUCAGGUCCCUAAUAUCCCGGAGGUGCUCUCAAUCAGAAAGGUCCUGCUCCGCUUCGCAGUGGAAUGGAACGGAUUUAGAAGCCUGCAGUAGGGGAGUGGGGAGUGGAGAGAGGGAGCCCAGAGUUACAGACUGCGGCGAGAGGAUGGAGGGGCGUCUUUAUUUUUUUAAGGCCCCAAAGAGUCUGAUGUUUACAAGACCAGAAAUGCCACGGCCGCGUCCUGGCAGAGAAAAGGCUGAAAUGGAGGACCGGCGCCUUCCUUAUAAGUAUGCACAUUGGCGAGAGAAUUAAGUGCUGCAACCUAAACCAGCAAUUACACCCAAGCUCGUUGGGGCCUAAGCCAGUACCGACCUGGUAGAAAAAGCAACCACGAAGCUAGAGAGAGAGCCAGAGGAGGGAAGAGAGCGCCAGACGAAGGUGAAAGCGAACCACGCAGAGAAAUGCAGGCAAAGGAGCAAGGCGGCAGUUCCCGGAACAAACGUGGCAGAGGGCAAGACGGGCACUCACAGACAGAGGUUUAUGUAUUUUUAUUUUUUUAAAUCUGAUUUGGUGUUCCAUGAGGAAAAGGGAAAAUCUAGGGAACGGGAGUACAGAGAGAAUAAUCCGGGUCCUAGCUCGCCACAUGAACGCCCAGAGAACGCUGGAAAAACCUGAGCGGGUGCCGAGGCAGCACCCGGCUCCGGUCAGCCACUGCCCCACACCGGGCCCACCAAGCCCCGCCCCUCGCGGCCACCCGGGCUUCCUUGCUCUUCUUAUCAUCUCCAUCUUUACUAUGAGGCUUGUUAACAAGACCAGAGAGCUGGCCAAGCACCUCUAUCUCAGCCGCGCCCGCUCAGCCGAGCAGCGGUCGGUGGGGGGACUGGGAGGCGCUAAUUAAUUGAUUCCUUUGGACUGUAAAAUAUGGCGGCGUCUACACGGAACCCACGGACUCAUAAACAAUAUAUCUGUUGGGCGUGAGUGCACUGUCUCUCAAAUAAUUUUUCCAUAGGCAUAUGUCAGAGGGUUCUGGAUUUUCAGUUGCUAAGGAAAGAUCCAAAUGGGACCAAUUUUAGGAGGCCCAAACAGAGUCCGUUCAGUGUCAGAAAAUGCUUCCCCAAAGGGGUUGGGAGUGUGUUUUGUUGGAAAAAAGCUUGGGUUAUAGGAAAGCCUUUCCCUGCUACUUGUGUAGACCCAGCCCAAUUUAAGAAUUGCAAGGAAGCGAAGGGGUUGUGUAGGCCGGAAGCCUCUCUGUCCCGGCUGGAUGCAGGGGACUUGAGCUGCUCCGGAAUUUGAGAGGAACAUAGAAGCAAAGGUCCAGCCUUUGCUUCGUGCUGAUUCCUAGACUUAAGAUUCAAAAACAAAUUUUUAAAAGUGAAACCAGCCCUAGCCUUUGGAAGCUCUUGAAGGUUCAGCACCCACCCAGGAAUCCACCUGCCUGUUACACGCCUCUCCAAGACACAGUGGCACCGCUUUUCUAACUGGCAGCACAGAGCAACUCUAUAAUAUGCUUAUAUUAGGUCUAGAAGAAUGCAUCUUGAGACACAUGGGUAACCUAAUUAUAUAAUGCUUGUUCCAUACAGGAGUGAUUAUGCAGUGGGACCCUGCUGCAAACGGGACUUUGCACUCUAAAUAUAGACCCCAGCUUGGGACAAAAGUUGCAGUAGAAAAAUAGACAUAGGAGAACACUUAAAUAAGUGAUGCAUGUAGACACAGAAGGGGUAUUUAAAAGACAGAAAUAAUAGAAGUACAGAAGAACAGAAAAAAACUCAGCAGAUGGAGAUUACCAUUCCCAAUGCCUGAACUUCCUCCUGCUAUUAAGAUUGCUAGAGAAUUGUGUCUUAAACAGUUCAUGAACCCAGAAGAAUGCAAUUUCAAUGUAUUUAGUACACACACAGUAUGUAUAUAAACACAACUCACAGAAUAUAUUUUCCAUACAUUGGGUAGGUAUGCACUUUGUGUAUAUAUAAUAAUGUAUUUACCAUGCAGUUUUAAAAUGUAGAUAUAUUAAUAUCUGGAUGCAUUUUCUGUGCACUGGUUUUAUAUGCCUUAUGGAGUAUAUACUCACAUGUAGCUAAAUAGACUCAGGACUGCACAUUCCUUGUGUAGGUUGUGUGUGUGUGGUGGUUUUAUGCAUAAAUAAAGUUUUACAUGUGGUGAAUAUA
rnacentral:antisense_RNA from 1 species